CAGCAGCCGCCGCGGUAAUACAGAGGGUGCGAGCGUUAAUCGGAUUUACUGGGCGUAAAGCGUGCGUAGGCGGCUUCUUAAGUCGGAUGUGAAAUCCCUGAGCUUAACUUAGGAAUUGCAUUCGAUACUGGGAAGCUAGAGUAUGGGAGAGGAUGGUAGAAUUCCAGGUGUAGCGGUGAAAUGCGUAGAGAUCUGGAGGAAUACCGAUGGCGAAGGCAGCCAUCUGGCCUAAUACUGACGCUGAGGUACGAAAGCAUGGGGAGCAAACAGGAUUAGAUACCCGAGUAGUCCCUGUCUCUUAUAC
rnacentral:rRNA from 1 species